rnacentral:sRNA from 1 species
CAGACUUUUCACUCCGAAAACUUACCCCUAUUAGGUUAGUCUUAAACGCCCCCUCAUGCCUUUGUCCUCCACUCUACCAUUUUUAGCAACUUUCAAACCCUCUGUUUCUCUCUCUCUCUCUCUCACAAAAAACACCGUUUUUUAAGAUCCCAGCUUAGCUUGGAGUUUUGAAUGGAUAAAGAUUUCGUAUCUUUCCAUAGAAGCUACGGUUUACUUUUGGUUCCUCUCAUUAGCGGCUCACCAAGGGCGGCAAUUGGACACUCAAUUGAAACGUGUAGGCAAUUGAGGGAGAAGAUUGAAAGCCUUGUCAACGAUGGUACCUUGCCUCUCAAACUCGUAGAGCAUUAGAAGUCGGCUUCAUCAUAAAUUGAACCUUUUUUCUGGACAGUUGAAAUUAUGAAACUAUAAAGAAAAGCUCAAAGUCUCAAACUAAUUACUUGUAGGAAAAUAAGACAAUUUCAAAACUUUUGAAGUUUUCA